rnacentral:rRNA from 1 species
AUUGAACGCUGGCGGCAUGCUUAUACAUGCAAGUCGGACGAGUGGCGAACGGGGGAGUAAUACAUCUGAACAUGCCCAGUAGUGGGGGAUAGCCCGGCGAAAGCCGGUUAUUACCACAUACUAUGGGGGUGGCCGAGGGCGGAUGUGCUAGUUGGUGGGGUAAAGGCCUACCUAGGCGACGAUGGGUAGCUGGUCUGAGAGGACGACCAGCCACACUGGGACUGAGACACGGCCCAGACUCCUACGGGAGGCAGCAGUGGGGAAUUUUGGGCAAUGGGGGCAACCCUGAUCCAGCAAAGCCGCGUGUGUGAAGAAGGCUUCGGGUUGUAAAGCACUUUUGUCCGGGAAGCGGUACCGGAAGAAUAAGCACCGGCUAACUACGUGCCAGCAGCCGCGGUAAUUC